ACCUAGCUGGCUCAGUUAGAAGAGCAUGCAACUCCUGAUCUCAGGGUUGUGGGUUCAAGCCCUAUGUUGGGUG
rfam:Ailuropoda melanoleuca scaffold211_108, whole genome shotgun sequence.